rnacentral:rRNA from 1 species
GGUGAAAGGCCAAUCAAACUCGGAAAUAGCUGGUUCUCCGCGAAAUCUAUUUAGGUAGAGCGUUAGAUGAAUACCAUCGGGGGUAGAGCACUGGAUGGGCUAGGGGGUCUCACCGACUUACCAAACCUAACCAAACUCCGAAUACCGAUGAGUAAUAUCUGGCAGACACACUACGGGUGCUAAGGUCCGUAGUGGAAAGGGAAACAGCCCUGACCGCCAGCUAAGGUCCCUAAGUUAUGGCUAAGUGGGAAAGGAUGUGAGAGUGCAUAGACAACCAGGAUGUUGGCUUAGAAGCAGCCAUCAUUUAAAGAAAGCGUAACAGCUCACUGGUCAAGCGCUCUUGCGCCGAAAAUGUACCGGGGCUAAAGCCAUACACCGAAGCUGCGGAUGCACAUUUAUGUGCGUGGUAGCGGAGCGUUCUGUAAGCCUGUGAAGGGUGACCCGCGAGGGCACUUGGAGGUAUCAGAAGUGAGAAUGCUGACAUGAGUAGCGAUAAAGAGGGUGAGAGACCCUCUCGCCGAAAGACCAAGGGUUCCUGCGUAAAGCUAAUCUGCGCAGGGUUAGUCGGCCCCUAAGGCGAGGGCGAAAGCCGUAGUCGAUGGGAAACAGGUUAAUAUUCCUGUACCUGGAGGUAGUGACGAAUCCCGUGUGUUGUCCACCCUUAUUGGAUUGGGUGGGCCGCGAAGGGGUUCCAGGAAAUAGCUCCUCCAUUAUAGACCGUACCCCAAACCGACACAGGUGGUCUGGUAGAGUAUACCAAGGCGCUUGAGAGAACUAUGUUGAAGGAACUCGGCAAAAUGCUCCCGUAAGUUCGCGAGAAGGGAGACCUCCACUUAGGCAACUAGGUGGGGGUGGCACAGACCAGGGGGUGGCGACUGUUUAC